rnacentral:rRNA from 1 species
UCAAAGCUGGCGGCGUGCCUACACAUCGCAAGUCGAACGCGACUUAGGCUUCGGCCUAAGUUGAGUGGCGAACGGGUGAGUAACACGUGGGUGACCUACCUUCGAGUGGGGGAUAACGUCCCGAAAGGGACGCUAAUACCGCAUAACAUCCUGCCUUUGAACAGGUGGGAGGUCAAAGCUGGGGAUCGUAAGACCUAGCGCUUGAUGAGGGGCCCGCGCCUGAUUAGCUAGUUGGUGGGGUAAUGGCUCACCAAGGCGNUGAUCAGUAUCCGGCCUGAGAGGGCGGACGGACACACUGGGACUGAGACACGGUCCAGACUCCUACGGGAGGCAGCAGUGGGGAAUUGUUCGCAAUGGGCGCAAGCCUGACAACUCAACGCCCGCGUUGAAGGAUGAAGGUCUUUCGGAUUGUAAACUUCCUGUUGCUCCGGACCGAAAAGCUUUCAACCUAACCACGUU